rnacentral:rRNA from 1 species
GACGAACGCUGGCGGCGUGCUUAACACAUGCAAGUCGAACGCUGAAGCCCUUUCGGGGGUGGAUGAGUGGCGAACGGGUGAGUAACACGUGGGUAAUCUGCCCUGUACUUCGGGAUAAGCCUUGGAAACGGGGUCUAAUACCGGAUAGGACCUGUCCUCGCAUGGGGGUGGGUGGAAAGUUCCGGCGGUAUGGGAUGAGCCCGCGGCCUAUCAGCUUGUUGGUGGGGUAGUGGCCUACCAAGGCGACGACGGGUAGCCGGCCUGAGAGGGUGACCGGUCACAUUGGGACUGGGACACGGCCCAGACUCCUACGGGAGGCAGCAGUGGGGAAUCUUGCGCAAUGGGCGAAAGCCUGACGCAGCAACGCCGCGUGGGGGAUGACGGCCUUCGGGUUGUAAACCUCUUUCGACAUCGACGAAGGGGCCCUGUUGUGGGGUUUUGACGGUAGGUGUAGAAGAAGCACCGGCUAACUACGUGCCAGCCGCCGCAGUAA